rfam:Zea mays cultivar B73 chromosome 5, whole genome shotgun sequence.
UAUUUUCCAUGAUGACUACUAUUAAGACGGUAUCUAAAAGGGGUAGCUUUUAAUUGUACCUCUUCUGAUUGUACCGAGACUGAAUCAGUGUUUUCAGAACGUU